CAUAGCGACUAUCGUGGCAUAUCAAUAAGCGGAGGAAAAGAAACUAACUAGGAUUCCCUUAGUAACGGCGAGUGAAGCGGGAAGAGCUCAAAUUUGAAAUCUUCAAGGUUUACCUUGACGAAUUGUAGUUUAAAGAAGUGUGUUCUGUUGGAAGUUUUGGUAAAAGUUCUUUGGAAUAGGACAUCAUAGAGGGUGAGAAUCCCGUAUUUGACCAUUAUUUCCAACUUUGUGAUACACUUUCAAAGAGUCGGAUUGUUUGGGAAUGCAGUCCAAAAUGGGUGGUAAAUUUCAUCUAAAGCUAAAUAUUGGCGAGAGACCGAUAGCGAACAAGUACCGUGAGGGAAAGAUGAAAAGAACUUUGAAAAGAGAGUUAAACAGUACGUGAAAUUGUCAAAAGGGAAGCGUUUGACACCAGUGUUGUUUUCUCGAAAAUCAAUUAAAAAUGCCUGGGAUGUUGUGUUGUAUUGACUUUAUCAGCUUUCUGCACUUUUUCCUUAUCUUUUUUAAUGCACUUUUCGUUUAACAAGUCAACAUCAAUUUCUUUUGUUGUAAAAGAGUCAUUGGAAGGUGGCUUUCAUUUCGGAGAAAGUGUUUAUAGCCUUUGACUUCUGCAAUCGGAGAGAUUGAGGUCUGCAGCGUAGAUCCUUCGGGGUUAGAUGCAUUUGUGCUAAGUUAUAGCUUUGUCAUAGACAACUUGUUGACUAUGUUCAGUCAUUGUAGCUUACUCGCUUAUGCUAUUUUACCUACGCUUAGGAUGUUGAUAUGCAUGACUGAUAU
rnacentral:rRNA from 1 species